CCCGGAUGUUAGCGGCGGACGGGUGAGUAACACGUGGGUAACCUGCCUGUAAGACUGGGAUAACUCCGGGAAACCGGAGCUAAUACCGGAUAGUUCCUUGAACCGCAUGGUUCAAGGAUGAAAGACGGUUUCGGCUGUCACUUACAGAUGGACCCGCGGCGCAUUAGCUAGUUGGUGAGGUAACGGCUCACCAAGGCGACGAUGCGUAGCCGACCUGAGAGGGUGAUCGGCCACACUGGGACUGAGACACGGCCCAGACUCCUACGGGAGGCAGCAGUAGGGAAUCUUCCGCAAUGGACGAAAGUCUGACGGAGCAACGCCGCGUGAGUGAUGAAGGUUUUCGGAUCGUAAAGCUCUGUUGUUAGGGAAGAACAAGUGCAAGAGUAACUGCUUGCACCUUGACGGUACCUAACCAGAAAGCCACGGCUAACUACGUGCCAGCAGCCGCGGUAAUACGUAGGUGGCAAGCGUUGUCCGGAAUUAUUGGGCGUAAAGGGCUCGCAGGCGGUUUCUUAAGUCUGAUGUGAAAGCCCCCGGCUCAACCGGGGAGGGUCAUUGGAAACUGGGAAACUUGAGUGCAGAAGAGGAGAGUGGAAUUCCACGUGUAGCGGUGAAAUGCGUAGAGAUGUGGAGGAACACCAGUGGCGAAGGCGACUCUCUGGUCUGUAACUGACGCUGAGGAGCGAAAGCGUGGGGAGCGAACAGGAUUAGAUACCCUGGUAGUCCACGCCGUAAACGAUGAGUGCUAAGUGUUAGGGGGU
rnacentral:rRNA from 1 species